CGCGUAGGCGGGCCGCCAGGCCCGCGGUGAAAUCCCCCGGCUCAACCGGGGAAGUGCCGCGGGGACCGGCGGUCUGGAGUGAGAUAGGGGCGUGCGGAACUGUGGGUGGAGCGGUGAAAUGCGUUGAUAUCCACAGGAACUCCGGUGGCGAAGGCGGCACGCUGGAUCUCUACUGACGCUGAGGCGCGAAAGCCAGGGGAGCGAAG
rnacentral:rRNA from 1 species